CGCUUCAUCCAGACGUAUCAGCCCACAUGGUCACAGCCUGUCCAGCCGUGAGGAUGCACUGAUGGCGCUUUGGUGGCAAAGAGUUAAUGAUAGCAGUGGUCUGGGGGGGUCCCAAGGACCUAAAGGGCCACACGCUGAUUGGCGACCGCCUGCUGGAUGGCUCUGAUCGGACCAGCCCAGUGCGGUGCCCUUCCACCCUCUGUCGUGUUGACGCACCCUUGUUGGCUGUUCCUUGUGCAGAGAACGGCUACGCCAGCACGGACGAGGAGAUCUCGGAGUUCAGCUGGCCUCGGAGGGGAGCUUCUCCCAGUUUUUCACCAUGAAGGGCUCGGCCAGCCAGGACGACUUCAAGUUCAAGGGGGAACCCAAGCUGUCAGGCCAGAUGAAGGCUGUGUCGACCGAGUGCCUGGGACCCACGCUGGACAUCUCCACCAAGAACAUCACCAAGUUCUUGGUGUCCCUCAUGGAGAUCAAGGAAGACGGGAUCGGCUUUUCCAU
rnacentral:lncRNA from 1 species